rnacentral:rRNA from 1 species
UACGAAGGGGGCUAGCGUUGUUCGGAAUUACUGGGCGUAAAGCGCGCGUAGGCGGUGAUCCAUGUCAGAGGUGAAAGCCCGGGGCUCAACUCCGGAAUUGCCUUUGAAACGGGAUCGCUAGAGUCCGAGAGAGGAUGGCGGAAUUCCUAGUGUAGAGGUGAAAUUCGUAGAUAUUAGGAAGAACACCGGUGGCGAAGGCGGCCAUCUGGCUCGGUACUGACGCUCAGGCGCGAAAGCGUGGGGAGCAAACAGGG